UCAAACUCUCAGUAAUCCUCCUGCCUCCCGAAUGCUGGAUUACAGGAACCAGGGCAUGGCUCUGCCAGCGUUGACCGAAUAUCUGCCCUUUCAUCUCUAGCUUCAGAGCCCGGAGAGGAAACCCCUAAGCCAAACUGCCGCCCAACCUCUCAGUCUCAUGAAAAUGCCAGCGUCACCCCUGGGCCCCAGCAGCUGGGCAGUUUUAUCCCCAUUUCUAUAUCCUUUCCUCCUGGCCCUUGAGAGACAGAACUUAAAAAUCACUAAAAGCUCUGAAGGUUUUUCACCAA